AGCAGUCGCCGCGGGAAUACAGAGGGUGCGAGCGUUAAUCGGAUUUACUGGGCGUAAAGCGUGCGUAGGCGGCUUCUUAAGUCGGAUGUGAAAUCCCUGAGCUUAACUUAGGAAUUGCAUUCGAUACUGGGAAGCUAGAGUAUGGGAGAGGAUGGUAGAAUUCCAGGUGUAGCGGUGAAAUGCGUAGAGAUCUGGAGGAAUACCGAUGGCGAAGGCAGCCAUCUGGCCUAAUACUUACGCUGAGGUACGAAAGCAUGGGGAGCAAACAGGAUUAGAUACCCGCGUAGUCCCUGUCUCUUAUAA
rnacentral:rRNA from 1 species